rnacentral:misc_RNA from 1 species
AACGCACCUUGCGCUCUUUGGUAUUCCGAAGAGCAUGCCUGUUUGAGUGUCAUGAAAAUAUCAACCUUGACUUGGGUUUAGUGCUCUUGUCUUGGCUUGGAUUUGGCUGUUUGCCGCUCGAAAGAGUCGGCUCAGCUUAAAAGUAUUAGCUGGAUCUGUCUUUGAGACUUGGUUUGACUUGGCGUAAUAAGUUAUUUCGCUGAGGACAAUCUUCGGAUUGGCCGAGUUUCUGGGACGUUUGUCCGCUUUCUAAUACAAGUUCUAGCUUGCUAGACAUGACUUUUUUUAUUAUCUGGCCUCAAAUCAGGUAGGACUACCCGCUGAACUUAA